AUGAGAAGGAGCAAGGAGCGGCACUUGUACUUGACAGUCACUGCUAGGACAACCAGGCACCCGGAAGGACCGAUGCCGAUGCGUGCAAUGCACCCAGCCGGCCGGUCAUCCAUGUACAUACAGUAUACUACUGAUGAUGUGAUCCCGGGGCCGAAGGGGGUGGAGCCGCACGGAGUUGGGUUGGAACAGUUGAUGAGUCCACGGGACGCCACCGUCGUCGCCCCCGCCGCGCAGAUUCCCCGCAUUUUGCUGGUCCGAGCGGCGGUAGACAAAAAAAUGAGACCAAUCCGCGAACACCAUGCGUCCAAGUUAGGAUUUAAACUCGGGUGGGCCGGUAGCAACCUCAGCUGUCCAGCCAACGAAUCGACGCCCCAUCCUCCCGAGCGGCGGGAGACUGUGUCCACGCACGAGCACGGAGGAGGGAGGGGGAAACAGGGAGCCGCGUUUAAGUGUCGGAAUCCUCAGACCCUGCGUGGCAUCACCCGAGCACCGACAAAAGCAAAUCUCCGGCAACAAGAUUGGGCUGGGCUGACGCAGCAAUGGGGUUGCCCAUGUCCGUUUGGGGUCGUCGCCGUGUCAGUGCGCCCAACGCGCGAGCGCACCCCAUAUUAUGUCUGGGGUGACAUAUCCGCCUGGCAUUUUGUCAAACACGUAGGAGGCAGGGAAGCUCGCAGCGGCUGGGCGCGGAGAGGCGAGGCCGACGUCUGCGGGAGCACCGGCCGGAUGCGGGCGCAGGCGCGAGACGAGACCGGCGGCCGAGCUCAAACUCCACGCCGGCGAGACGCAGCAGGGCGAGCGCGGCGUGGCACGGCUAGCGCGGCGAGCACGGCGAUGCGUCACGGCUGGGCGCGGCGACUCGAGGUGGCUGGAUGCACGGCGCACACCUCGGCCUCGCCCUGCGCUCGCCCCGGCUUCGCCGAGCGCCUCGUCGGGCUCGCGUCCGCUCCCCUCCCGCUCACGUGGCCGACGUCGCGCCCCGCCCUCUCGCCCGGCCACAGCGCCAGCCUGCGCGCGCACGCCCCGGCCUCCCCGCCGUGGCCGACAGAGGACACCAGGACCGAAGCACUUGGAUUAGGAAUCAGAUCCUGGACUCUCAGUCUGGCCCUGGAAUGCUGCGGCCUCUACACGUGGGCCCGUGCACAGUCGGACAAAAUGGGGUCUUGCGGUGGAGUUGGCCUGAAAAUGGGCAGUAUCUGCAUGCACAGGCAUGUAAAACAAACGAACUCCGCAUGCCUCUUGUCUGGCGAGCACUUUCUUAUCGUGCUCCUGCACCAGAUUACCACGCGACGUGGUGACGCCUCGUUUGCUCGACCUCAGAACCAGACCAGUCGUCAAGUCACUGGUCGCCCUACAGGAGAAAGAGGUUCAGAUUCUGGCAUACAUGCUCGGCGUUGCAUGUCCUGUUUUACUUGCCAUGAUCACGUGCAGGAGUUCCUAAUCAACAGUGUCGUACAUCAUUCAUCGCGCUCGCGACCCGACGACUUCAACUUCGCUGCAACAUGGAAGGGCACCGACAUGAAGCAUGCAUGUCUGCCACAAGUGUGCUCCUCGACCUCAUCGACAUUGGAGAGAGAAGGCAUAUCCGAAGCAGGGCAGACCUGUGCCGCUCCAAUCCCGAGAGGACAAACAAGACUUGUCCGCCGCUCCAAGCAUGUCGCUCCUGUCGCCCACCCGCCGCACAACGGCCAACAGCCAUACUCGAAUGAAGCGCCAUCGCAGACUUACACACCACCGGAGCCAAGAGGUCACGAGUUCGAAGCUCCAGUACGCGUCCGAUCGCCGGCGACCGGCAUCACGCUGGGCAGGGGAGCACGCCGCCACGCCGGCCCGCACGGUCUUCACGGCCUUAGUCUUUUUCCCCGCGCCCGGAGUCGUGUCUGUCUCCAGUUGCUGCUGCUGCGCGCAGAAAUUGGGCGCUGCGUUGCUCGAUCGUUCGGUGCCGCGGCACGCGCGCUGUUGGUCGAUGGCUCACGGGAAGAGCUUCUCGACGGCAACCCCCUGCAGCAGCGGCCGCGAGUCGCCGCGGCGGCGGCAGGAGGAGGAGCGGCGUGGCUCCUCGGAGCCCGACGAGGAAGAGACGCGGCGGAGGACGUCGCGGAGGCGGCCCUCGUCGCAGGGGAGCGCGACUGGGCCGGAGGCGCCGGACGGGAAGCCGUACUCCUCCUCCGCCUGCCGGAGCAGCUCCAGGAACGCCGGGUGGCUCAGGUGCCCCAGCCGCACCAUGAACCGCGCGCCCUCCGCGCAGACCGCGACGUGCCCCGCCGGCACCGGGGCGGAGGUGGACCGGCGGUUCCGCCACCGGCGCACGGCGCGGCGCAGCCAGGCGAAGGACGGGAUCGUGAUGACGUUGCACAUGCUGCCUUGUCUUGCUUUGCGCCGACGAGCUAUCGAACGCGUUCGCUUGCUGCUGCUGCUGCUGCUAGCUCUCUGCCUCUCUGGUUGGGACACGGAAGAGGAUGGCACCGCGAUCAGUGGGUGCUAAUCUUUUGUGUUGCUGCGCGCGACACGACACCGGGAGGAGAUCGGCAUCCAGUGCCAAGCUGGGGCAGUCCGCGCAGCCCAACCCAGCGGACCGCAGCUUGCACGCAUCGUCUCCUGCCCCCGAUCAGGCAGGACAUGAGCGACCUCUUCGCGCGUCCAGAACAAAAUACGCCCUCUAAUCCAAGUGAUUAA
rnacentral:rRNA from 1 species